rnacentral:rRNA from 1 species
AGAGUUUGAUCCUGGCUCAGAUUGAACGCUGGCGGCAUGCUUUACACAUGCAAGUCGAACGGCAGCGCGGGGCAACCUGGCGGCGAGUGGCGAACGGGUGAGUAAUAUAUCGGAACGUACCCAAGAGUGGGGGAUAACGUAGCGAAAGUUACGCUAAUACCGCAUACGAUCUAAGGAUGAAAGCAGGGGAUCUUCGGACCUUGUGCUCCUGGAGCGGCCGAUAUCUGAUUAGCUAGUUGGUGAGGUAAAGGCUCACCAAGGCCACGAUCAGUAGCUGGUCUGAGAGGACGACCAGCCACACUGGAACUGAGACACGGUCCAGACUCCUACGGGAGGCAGCAGUGGGGAAUUUUGGACAAUGGGCGCAAGCCUGAUCCAGCAAUGCCGCGUGCAGGAUGAAGGCCUUCGGGUUGUAAACUGCUUUUGUACGGAACGAAACGGUCUGCCUUAAUACGGUGGGCUAAUGACGGUACCGUAAGAAUAAGCACCGGCUAACUACGUGCCAGCAGCCGCGGUAAUACGUAGGGUGCGAGCGUUAAUCGGAAUUACUGGGCGUAAAGCGUGCGCAGGCGGUUAUAUAAGACAGAUGUGAAAUCCCCGGGCUCAACCUGGGACCUGCAUUUGUGACUGUAUAGCUAGAGUACGGUAGAGGGGGAUGGAAUUCCGCGUGUAGCAGUGAAAUGCGUAGAUAUGCGGAGGAACACCGAUGGCGAAGGCAAUCCCCUGGACCUGUACUGACGCUCAUGCACGAAAGCGUGGGGAGCAAACAGGAUUAGAUACCCUGGUAGUCC